CGGGUCGUGGAGAACUCCCCGGGAACUGGGGCCAAUUUUCGAUAGGUGAAGAACCCUGGAAUGGGUCUUCGCCCAAAAGGCGCUUGGAGCAUGCUUCUAGGCGUUGCCCAAGGAUGGGGCCGCGGCCGAUCAGGUUGUUGGUGAGGUAAUGGCUCACCAAGCCUUUAACCGGUACGGGCCGUGGGAGCGGUAGCCCGGAGAUGGGCACUGAGACAAGGGCCCAGGCCCUACGGGGCGCAGCAGUCGCGAAAACUUCGCAAUAGGCGAAAGCUUGACGAGGCCAUCCCGAGUGCCAUCUGCUGAGGAUGGCUUUUACCUAGUGUAGAUAGCUGGGGGAAUAAGGAGAGGGCAAGUCUGGUGUCAGCCGCCGCGGUAAUACCAGCUCUCCGAGUUGUGGGGAUGUUUAUUGGGCCUAAAGCAUCCGUAGCCGGCUGGGCAAGUCCUCUGUUAAACCCAGCGAUCGAUCGUUGGCUUGCGGGGGAUACUGUCCGGCUAGGGGGCGGGAGAGGCCGUCGGUAUUCUCGGGGUAGGGGUGAAAUCCUAUAAUCCCGGGAGGACCACCAGUGGCGAAGGCUGUCGGCUAGAACGCGCCCGACGGUGAGGGAUGAAAGCUGGGGGAGCGAACCGGAUUAGAUACCCGGGUAGUCCCAGCUGUAAACGAUGCAGGCUAGGUGUUAGGGCGGCUACGUGCCGCUCUAGUGCCGCAGGGAAGCUGUUAAGCCUGCCGCCUGGGGAGUACGGCCGCAAGGCUGAAACUUAAAGGAAUUGGCGGGGGAGCAC
rnacentral:rRNA from 1 species